GAGGUUUGCUGCUUGGUCUGCAGACAGAGUAAAAGGCGCUUGAAUACGUCCCGCAGUUGCCUUCUAAUGAGCCAGGGCUGGAAAUGAGAUACUUAACUGAUCAAAGGAGCCCACAGUCAUCUCAGCUGGAAAUCCAAUGUGAAACACUGAUUGGAUGGCCACACGUUAGCAAAAGGAAACAGAAAAGGAAGUAAAAGGUGGGGUGCCUGUGCUGCAUGUCGAAGACCUCAGGUUCAAUCUCAGGCAACUCCAGACAGAGCUGGGAAAGUUCACCACCUGAGCACCCAGAGAACUGCUGCUGUAAGCAUAGAUAAUACCAAGGUAGACAGUCAAACAGUUUCAUUUGGUAUGAGGCAGCUUCCCAUGAUUCUACUAUAUCCUCGGACACUACGAAUUUCAUCGUAAUUAAAAACUAACACCCAUAACUUUAUGUAUUUCAUUGUUCAGUUUCAUCCCCAGAGACAUCUGCUGUGUGGAGCAAUAAACUGAGAACAGAAUAAUUACCACAGCUUGCACUGUCUGAAACAACCUUCCGUGUUCUCAUUUAAAAUGCUGGCACUAGAAGUCAAGAAUAUAACAGGGUUUCAACAGUGCUAAAUGGUGGGAACACUCCGGAAUGGCUCCCCUUCCAAAGCAAACUUGUGGCCUGCUGGAGAAGUGCAAGUUUGAAGGAUUUGACUCGGAAUUCUGUUUUCAACCCAAGCUG